rnacentral:rRNA from 1 species
AUUGAACGCUGGCGGCAGGCUUAACACAUGCAAGUCGAGCGGGGAAAGGUAGCUUGCUACCUGACCUAGCGGCGGACGGGUGAGUAAUGCUUAGGAAUCUGCCUAUUAGUGGGGGACAACGUUCCGAAAGGAACGCUAAUACCGCAUACGUCCUACGGGGGAAAGCAGGGGAUCUUCGGACCUUGCGCUAAUAGAUGAGCCUACGUCGGAUUAGCUAGUUGGUGGGGUAAAGGCCUACCAAGGCGAGGAUCUGUAGCGGGUCUGAGAGGAUGAUCCGCCACACUGGGACUGAGACACGGCCCAGACUCCUACGGGAGGCAGCAGUGGGGAAUAUUGGACAAUGGGCGGAAGCCUGAUCCAGCCAUGCCGCGUGUGUGAAGAAGGCCUUUUGGUUGUAAAGCACUUUAAGCGAGGAGGAGGCUCCUUUAGUUAAUACCUAAAGAGAGUGGACGUUACUCGCAGAAUAAGCACCGGCUAACUCUGUGCCAGCCGCCGCCGUAAUAC